AGCUUUGCGCAGUGGCAGUAUCGUAGCCAAUGAGGUUUAUCUGAGGCACGAUUAUUGCUAAUUA
rnacentral:snRNA from 1 species